CGAGAUCAUGCCACUGCAUUCCAGCCUGGGCGAAAAUGCCACUAAUAUCACUUACAUAAUAUUAAUAUAUAUUUGAAGUAGGGGAAAACCUGGAAGAUUCCUCACCAAAGUUUUGACAGUGACUCCAGAGACUGGGAUAACUUUGUGACUUUCAUUUCCUCUUAAAUGUUGUGCCAGGGUCUGACCGGCAGACCCAGGCUGCACGAUGGAUGAAUAAUGUACUCAGACACCGAUAUUCAGUGAAAGAGUGCACCAGAGGGCCAGGCCACUCACAGAAAGGGUUGUGGCAGCUGCGUGCCCUGACUAUCUGGCCCUGUGGGCCUUUAUUCAGCACAGAUUUAAUGACAAAGGCUUUGAGUCAACACACCUGUGGGUAAUUAAUCUGGUCGCAGUCCCCCGGAGAGAGCAGUCCUACAAAUGAUCAAAGGAGCUGGGACAGUUAUAUUCAUCAGAACAGCACGGUGUCAAGGCCCUCACCCCCAGAAAGCUUAGGAGACACUGUUUUAUGGAGGAGAGUGAGAUUGGAGGAAGCCCUGACUCCAGGUCUCCUGAUCCUUCCUACACAAAGCGAAGCUGAAAAAAAGUGCAGGACACUCCAUUUCCUCCUGGGACCAGACAGGGAAGCCAGAGCCACCAUGGAUGUCAAAUUCCGGCAAGGAAACACCAGUAUAGCAAAAUCUCCACAUCACAUUUUAAAGCUCACACAAUGGCUCAAAGAGAACCCACAUCAAAAAACCGAAUUCCUAGCUCAGGUGAGAUCACCAAAGUUGCCUGUGAGGCUUCGUGGAACCUGCAGGUAGAAAGGACAUCUUUAUUUCGAGCUGCAGCCCAGUUGCUUCUGCGUCUUGGAGCCCCUUGAAAGGACCCUCUCCCUUCAACAGUACAUAGGGAGGCCAUUUCUGGGGAGAAAUGUAGACUGUCCUUAGACUCCUGAGGUUUUUACACUUGCUUGCUGACUCUGUGGACUUUGACUUCAUCAUUAAACAUCUUAUAAUGAUGUAAUUUGCUUUGACUGUAAGUGUAGAACAGGACGCUGUUCCUGAAUCAGGAAACAAGGGACUGGUGACCUGAACUGCCACCACCCUCCCUGGUGCUCAGAUGCAAUGAAAUCGUGAGGCAACAAAUCUAUGGCUAGGUAAAGGGUCAACUCCAUUUCAGCAAAUGUUUCAGAUGUUCCUUCCUGCCUAGUAAUGUUCCAGCUUUACCCCAGCCUUAAUCUUUUAAAAUGUAUAUUUUCCUUAGCGUUGAUUUUAAAGUAAUUCGUAUGUAUUUAUUACACUGGGUUUGUUGCAGUAAGCCACCUCGAAUGUUGCUGUAGAAUUAAAGUAAGCAAAUAAAUGUGUGGUUCUCCAAG
rnacentral:lncRNA from 1 species